GGGGAUGUAGCUCAGUGGUAUAGCAUCCGCUUAGCAUGCAGAAGGCCCGUGGUCCGAUCCCCCAAAUCUCCA
rnacentral:tRNA from 1 species